GUUACAAGUUCAAGUUUAUUGACAUGGACGUACGUACCCAGGGUAUAAGCUGCCCACACAUCCUCUGACCUUCAGAGCAUCUCUGGCUUCUGAAUCAGGCACUUAAAUACGUGUGUCAGAAAUAUGCUGGCGGUUAGAUAUUGGCACAUCUGACACCCCACCCCACUGUGGAUCCUGGCACUGCUCAGUGAUAGAUGUCACUGAUUGGAGGGGCUUGGUGCACAUUAUCAGGCCCCUCAGCUUUGCUGUUGAUAAUACAUGACAGCUUGCAAAGGGCAAAUGCAUUUUUAUUUUUAAUAUGUCUUUGAUGCUGGGACAUGAAUGCAUUUGAAUGAGAUCACAGAUAUCCAUUGAAUGAUUAAAUUCAAGUUAAGCAACAUAAGAACAUACAAAACUGGAUUCGGCCAUCUGACCUAUCAAACCUGCUCUGCCACUCAGUGCUGUACAGUCAUGAAUAUGCAAACACGAAUAUUUGCAUAUUUGAAGAUGCUGUUUCAGAUUUAUUAUUCUAUUGAAAACACUUGCAUACAAGCCGAUGGUUGAAAUUUGAUUUAGAAAUGCAAAAAUAAAAAUUUCUUUUCAACUAUAGUGGAUU